CGGCGGACGGGUGAGUAACGCGUGGGUAACCUGCCUCAUACAGGGGGAUAACAGUUGGAAACGGCUGCUAAUACCGCAUAAGCGCACAGUACCGCAUGGUACGGUGUGAAAAACUCCGGUGGUAUGAGAUGGACCCGCGUCUGAUUAGGUAGUUGGUGGGGUAACGGCCUACCAAGCCGACGAUCAGUAGCCGACCUGAGAGGGUGACCGGCCACAUUGGGACUGGGACACGGCCCAA
rnacentral:rRNA from 1 species